rnacentral:rRNA from 1 species
CAGUAGCCACGGGAAUACAGAGGUCCCGAGCGUUGUUCGGAUUCACUGGGCGUAAAGGGUGUGUAGGAGGUUUGGUAAGUCAGGUGUGAAAUCCCACAGCUCAACUGUGGAACUGCAUUCGAUACUGCCGAACUAGAGGCUUGGAGGGGGAAGCGGUAUUCUUGGUGUAGCGGUGAAAUGCGUAGAUAUAGGAAGGAACACCAGUGGCGAAGGCGACCACCUGGACUGAUACUGACACUGAGGUGCGAAAGCGUGGGGAGCAAACAGGAUUAGAUACCCCUGUAGUCCCUGUCUCUUAUAC